rnacentral:rRNA from 1 species
ACGCAGCAACGCCGCGUGAGUGAUGAAGUUCUUCGGAUCGUAAAAGCUCUGUCAGCAGGGAAGAAACCUAUGUGAUCUAAUAAAUCAUGUAAUUGACGGUACCUGCGAAGGAAGCACCGGCUAANUCUGUGCCAGCAGCCGCGGUAAUACAGAGGGUGCGAGCGUUGUUCGGAAUUAUUGGGCGUAAAGAGCGCGUAGGUGGUUCGCUAAGUCUGGUGUGAAAGCCCUCGGCUUAACCGAGGAAGUGCAUUGGAUACUGGCGAGCUUGAGUGUGAGAGAGGAUUGUGGAAUUCCUGGUGUAGCGGUGAAAUGCGUAGAUAUCAGGAGGAACACCGGUGGCGAAGGCGGCAAUCUGGAUCAUAACUGACACUGAGGCGCGAAAGCGUGGGUAGCAAACAGGAUUAGAUACCCUGGUAGUCCACGCCGUAAACGAUGGAUGCUAGGUGUUGCAGGCUUCAACCCCUGCAGUGCCGUAGCUAACGCAUUAAGCAUCCCGCCUGGGGGGUACGGUCGCAAGACUAAAACUCAAAGGAAUUGACGGGGGCCCGCACAAGCGGUGGAGCAUGUGGUUUAAUUCGACGCAACGCGAAGAACCUUACCCAGACUUGACAUCCUUGGAACCCUGCGGAAACGUGGGGGUGCCCUUCGGGGAGCCAAGAGACAGGUGCUGCAUGGC